UCUCUGCCGUGUCUUUUCGUGUCGCAUGUGCGGCUGCUGCAGUCGCGCAGAGACGAUGACCCGAGGCAGAUGAUGCAUUUAAAGAGUUGACGGAGGAAGGGUUCCGGCAGUAUUUUCGUCUGUCCAAACGAACAGUGCGUAGCUUGUGCGACGAGCUUGACUCCAUCAGUGGAUGCCAUCGAGCCAGUGGCCUUUCCACAGAAAGGAAGGUGUUGUGCGCGCUGCGAUUUUUCGGCACUGGAAGCUUCCGGAGGAGCGUUGGUCGCGAGGAGCAAGUAGGCAUGGCGCAGCCGGCCGCGAGCAACACCAUCCAGGAGGUGACGGAGGCCAUCAUUUCCGUGUCUGCCCGGAGAAAGUUGGUGGACUUUUCAUUGACAUCGGCUGCCAAGGAUGAGGCAAAGGCGGCGUUUGCGCGACGCGGUGCCAUUCCAGGGGCCGUAUUCUGAAACGUUCGCCUAGGCGAAAUUUCUUUUUUCGCUUUCAGGCGUGCGCCGAUUGGCUGUAUCAGCAAAAUUGGAUGAGCUGAUUGGGUGGUUGAGCCCGACGUCAUUCAAUUUUGCUCAACCAGCCAAUCAGCGCGCACGCUGAUUUCGCCUAGGCGAAAUUUCGCCUAGGCGAACGUUUCAAAAUACGGCCCCAGGCGUGCUAGCGUGCGUCGACGGCACGUUGAUCGCCGUUAUGAAGCCAGAGGGACUCAGCCCGGCCGACACGGCGAGCUUCAUGUCGAGGAAGGGUUAUUACGCCCUCAACGUCAUAGUCGUGUGAAACUCGGAACUUUGCAUCCUUGUUGUGGACCUCCGGCUCCCUCAUUCGGGCCACGACUCUUAGAUGUGGCAGCAUAAUCCACUGUGUGCGCGCCUCGCCGCACAACUGCAGCCUGGCGAGUCUCUGUUUGGUGGCCAGCUACGACUAGCGCCAGGGAGCGCACCUUCUCCAGUAUGCCCUCCUGAGCGGCUGCCGUCCUCUCUGCCGCGAUGGCGAGCCGGGUGGUGGAUUGUUCGAUCCUUCGCAGCACCUGAAAUGAAUAAUUGUGGUGGAAUUGUUCACAUGAGUUGCUGAUUACUCGCAACCAGCUCAUCGCUGGAAGCUGUUGUCAAGAAUUGCAACGUGCACAACAAUUGCCCACCUCCCUCGCUGUAGCCACUGUAGUGUCUAUCCUCCCAACACAUCACAUAUCCUAUGGCAAUGCCAUCCAAAACUACCCCCCUUACCCAAACCUUCAUCCCUCCCAUCUACCCCUUCGUCCGAGUGGCUGACCGCCGCAACCACCCUUCACGACCAACGAUUCCUUGGGGACUUCAUCGGCCUAGCGCUGAAGCACGCCGCAAGCGACGCCCAGGACUCAGGGCACUGAUGCAUUUUUUAUCGCAGAAUAAAAAAAAAAG